UACGAGGGAUCCUAGCGUUGUUCGGAAUCAUUGGGCGUAAAGGGUGUGUAGGCGGACUUGUAAGUCAGUUGUGAAAGCCCCGGGCUCAACCCGGGAAGUGCUUCUGAUACUGCUUGUCUUGAGUAUUGGAUAGGUGAGUGGAAUUCCAGGUGUAGUGGUGAAAUACGUAGAUAUCUGGAGGAACACCGGCGGCGAAGGCGGCUCACUGGCCAUAUACUGACGCUGAAACACGAAAGCGUGGGGAGCAAACAGG
rnacentral:rRNA from 1 species